rnacentral:rRNA from 1 species
UAGGGAAUCUUCGGCAAUGGACGAAAGUCUGACCGAGCAACGCCGCGUGAGUGAAGAAGGUUUUCGGAUCGUAAAACUCUGUUGUUAGAGAAGAACAAGGACGUUAGUAACUGAACGUCCCCUGACGGUAUCUAACCAGAAAGCCACGGCUAACUACGUGCCAGCAGCCGCGGUAAGACGUAGGUGGCAAGCGUUGUCCGGAUUUAUUGGGCGUAAAGCGAGCGCAGGCGGUUUCUUAAGUCUGAUGUGAAAGCCCCCGGCUCAACCGGGGAGGGUCAUUGGAAACUGGGAGACUUGAGUGCAGAAGAGGAGAGUGGAAUUCCAUGUGUAGCGGUGAAAUGCGUAGAUAUAUGGAGGAACACCAGUGGCGAAGGCGGCUCUCUGGUCUGUAACUGACGCUGAGGCUCGAAAGCGUGGGGAGCAAACAGG